rnacentral:snRNA from 1 species
AUCACUUCUCUGUCUUUUGGCUAAGAUCAAGUCUAGUAUCUGUUCUUAUUUCUAUAAAAACAAGAACAACUUGAAUUUACCUUGGGAUCUAUAAAGUACCUACUUCCCUACUACCAGAGCUGAUGACCACAGGUGAAGGUUGGAAAAUAGAUCUACA